AUUGAACGCUGGCGGCAGGCUUAACACAUGCCAGUCGAGCGAGCGGCGGACGGGUGAGUAAUGUCUGGGGAACUGCCUGAUGGCGGCGGUUAACUACUGGAAACGGUAGCUAACACCGCAUACCCUCGGAUGUGCCCAGAUGGGAUUAGCUAGUAGGUGGGGUAAUGGCGCACCUAGGCGACGAUCCCUAGCUGGUCUGAGCGGAUGACCAGCCAAACUGGAACGGAGACACGGUCGAGACUCCUACGGGAGGCAGCAGUGGGGAAGAUUGCACAAUGGGCGCAAGCCUGAUGGAGCCAUGCCGCGUGUGGGAAGAAGGCCUUCGGGUUGUAAAGCACGGUCAGCGAGGAGGCGUUACUCGCAGAAGAAGCACCGGCGAACUCCGUGCCAGCAGCCGCGGUAAUUC
rnacentral:rRNA from 1 species